rnacentral:snRNA from 1 species
AGAUGUCAGGGCAAUCUGGCUGCAACAUCUGUCACCCCCUUGAUCACCAGAACUGAUUCAGCUGAUCUGGCUGGCUAGGUGGGUGUUCCCUCCCUCCCUAAGCAUUUCAUAUGCAUCCCUCCUGAAGCUGCACACUUGGUCAAAGAGGAUGGCCUUCAUCAAAUGAUGGACUCAUCUUUGUUAGAGGGUAUACAAGUAGCUGCGCUCCCCUGCUAGAACCUCCAAACAAGCUCUCAAAAGCUUUCCUCAUUCCUAUAAUUAUUGCAUCAGUUAGUGUUUGGAUGUUGUCCUCUUUCUUAUGUGUUUCUCCUGUUGGGGGGCUUUUAUUUGGG